rnacentral:lncRNA from 1 species
AGAGCGGCAAAACACAUCCCUUUGACGCAAUUGUCUUCUGCACUGGCUUCAAGCGGUCCACAAAUAUCUGGCUUAAGGUAACAUAACAAUUGAGUAUGCCUUUUCAAAGGGGAAAAAAAAAAAGCCAAUAAUAGUUAGAAAUAAAAUCUAGAAGUUUGUUAGUAUUAUCAUGCAUUCUUAGAGGAAUGAUUGAACACUGCCGCUAUUAACUAAAACAAGUGUAUUUUUUGGAGCAGGGAGAUGAGUACCUGCUGAACGAUGAUGGAAUUCCGAAACCGAGUUUCCCGAACCAUUGGAAGGGAAAGAAUGGCUUGUACUGCGCUGGAUUGUCGAGAAGAGGAUUGUAUGGGGCAAGUGCUGAUGCAAACAACAUAGCCAGUGAUAUCAAAUCACUUCUGUAAUGAAACGUUUCCUUUGAACAAGGAAUUAUUAUACUAUAGUUAAUUCAUAUGUAACCUUUGAAAUUUUCUUUCUCAUGAGGUUGCACUCAACCAGCUUUUCCUCAAAUAACU